rnacentral:rRNA from 1 species
GGAAUAUUGGACAAUGGGCGAAAGCCUGAUCCAGCCAUGCCGCGUGUGUGAAGAAGGUCUUCGGAUUGUAAAGCACUUUAAGCUGGGAGGAAGGGCAGUAAGCGAAUACCUUGCUGUUUUGACGUUACCGACAGACUACGCACCGGCUAACGCUGUGCCAGCGGCCGCGGUAAUACGGAGGGUGCAAGCGUUAAUCGGAAUUACUGGGCGUAAAGCGCGCGUAGGUGGUUUUGUAAGUCGGAUGUGAAAGCCCUGGGCUCAACCUGGGAAUUGCAUUCGAUACUGCUUAACUAGAGUAUGGUAGAGGGAAGUGGAAAUUCCGGUGUAGCGGUGAAAUGCGUAGAUAUCGGAAGGAACACCAGUGGCGAAGGCGACUUCCUGGGCCAAUACUGACACUGAGGUGCGAAAGCGUGGGUAGCAAAC